rnacentral:rRNA from 1 species
UACGUAGGGGGCAAGCGUUGUCCGGAAUCAUUGGGCGUAAAGAGCGUGUAGGCGGCUUGGUAAGUCCGCUGUGAAAGUCCAGGGCUCAACCCUGGAAAGCCGGUGGAAACUGUCAAGCUUGAGUCCGGAAGAGGCGAGUGGAAUUCCUGGUGUAGCGGUGAAAUGCGCAGAUAUCAGGAGGAACACCGGUGGCGAAGGCGGGUCUCUGGGCCGAUACUGACGCUGAGGAGUGAAAGCGUGGGGAGCGAACAGG